rnacentral:misc_RNA from 1 species
CCAAUAGCGUAUAUUAAAGUUGUUGCAGUUAAAAAGCUCGUAGUUGAAUUUCGGGAUUAGUACGUUGGUCGUGCCUUGGUACGUACUGGUGUAACUGAUUCCUCCCUUCUGACGAACCGUUAUGCCAUUAAUUUGGUGUGGCGGGAAAUCAGGACUGUUACUUUGAAAAAAUUAGAGUGUUUAAAGCAGGCUCGCGCUUGAAUACAUUAGCAUGGAAUAAUGAAAUAGGACGUUAAUCCUAUUUUGUUGGUUUCUAGGAUCGACGUAAUGAUUAAUAGGGAUAGUUGGGGGCAUUAGUAUUCAAUUGUCAGAGGUGAAAUUCUUGGAUUUAGUGAAGACUAACUACUGCGAAAGCAUUUGCCAAGGAUGUUUUCAUUAAUCAAGAACGAAAGUUAGGGGAUCGAAGACGAUCAGAUACCGUCGUAGUCUUAACCAUAAACGAUGCCAACCAGUAAUCCGUCUGAGUUCCUUAAAUGACUCGACGGGCGACUUCCG